rnacentral:rRNA from 2 species
AAGCGGCAACAGCUCAAAUUUGAAAUCUGGCCCCAGGCCCGAGUUGUAAUUUGCAGAGGAUGCUUUUGGCGCGGUGCCUUCCGAGUUCCCUGGAACGGGACGCCAUAGAGGGUGAGAGCCCCGUACGGUUGGACACCAAGCCUUUGUAAAGCUCCUUCGACGAGUCGAGUAGUUUGGGAAUGCUGCUCUAAAUGGGAGGUACAUUUCUUCUAAAGCUAAAUAUUGGCCAGAGACCGAUAGCGCACAAGUAGAGUGAUCGAAAGAUGAAAAGCACUUUGAAAAGAGGGUUAAACAGCACGUGAAAUUGUUAAAAGGGAAGCGCUUGUGACCAGACUUGCGUCCGGUGAAUCACCCAGCUCUCGCGGCUGGGGCACUUCGCCGGCACAGGCCAGCAUCAGCUUGCCGUCGGGGACAAAAGCUUCAGGAACGUGGCUCCUCUCGGGGAGUGUUAUAGCCUGUUGCAUAAUACCCUUCGGCGGCUGAGGUAC